rnacentral:rRNA from 1 species
AUACCCUAUUAUUUUUAUNGUAAAGAGGAGUAAAAUCAAAGUAUUAGUAGUUAUGAUCUUGAAACUUAAAGAAUUUGGCGGUAUUAUAGUCUAUUUAGAGGAAUCUGUUACGUGAUCGAUAAUCCGCGUUGAACCUUACUUACAUUAUUAUUUGUAUACCGCUGUUUAUGAUUAUACUUUAAGGUUAAUUUUCUGGAUAUAUAAUUAAUUAGUAUUUCAAGUCAAGGUGCAGUGAUAUGUAAGUUGAGUAAUGGAUUACAAUAAAUUGUAUUUAUUAUGGAUUGUAGUUGAAAUAUAACUUGAAGGUGGAUUUAAUUGUAAUUUUAUGAAGAUUGUUAAAAUGAUUUUAGCUCUAUAAUAUGCACACAUCGCCC